AAGUCAGCAAGAAAAGUGAGGGACUUUUAGGGGCAGCUGUGUUAUACUGACCCAGUCAUAAUGCCCCUAAAAAUCCUUAUUGCUCUUGCAGUGCUCAAC
rnacentral:pre_miRNA from 1 species